UAACUCUGGUUUCUCUUCAUUCCACGAUUAAAUCUUUCGCCUUUUACUAAAGAUUUCCGUGGAGAGGAACAUUCAAUGAGUGUUCCAUGAUUUGUGAAACCCUCUUCCAAGAAGAGGGU
rfam:Macrostomum lignano uti_cns_0008130, whole genome shotgun sequence.